UAAGGAAUAUUGGACAAUGGACGCAAGUCUGAUCCAGCCAUGCCGCGUGAAGGAUGACUGCCCUCUGGGUUGUAAACUUCUUUUAUAGGGGAAGAAAGUUAUUUUUUAGGAUAUUUGACGGUACCCUAUGAAUAAGCACCGGCUAACUCCGUGCCAGCAGCCGCGGUAAUACGGAGGGUGCAAGCGUUAUCCGGAUUCACUGGGUUUAAAGGGUGCGUAGGCGGGUAUGUAAGUCAGUGGUGAAAUACCGGAGCUUAACUUCGGAACUGCCAUUGAUACUAUAUAUCUUGAAUAUUGUGGAGGUAAGCGGAAUAUGUCAUGUAGCGGUGAAAUGCUUAGAGAUGACAUAGAACACCGAUUGCGAAGGCAGCUUGCUACGCAAAUAUUGACGCUGAGGCACGAAAGCGUGGGGAUCAAACAGGAUUAGAUACCCUGGUAGUCCACGCCCUAAACGAUGAUUACUCGACAUUAGCGAUACACAGUUAGUGUCUGAGCGAAAGCAUUAAGUAAUCCACCUGGGAAGUACGACCGCAAGGUUGAAACUUAAAUGAAUUGACGGGGUCAUAGCUGUUUCCU
rnacentral:rRNA from 1 species